CUGCUCCCCAUCCCGAGGGAAGCCAUGGGAGUCCUAAUAGAGAGAGGAGGAAAACCUUGUCAAAUCCAUUAUGCAGCAGCAAUAAUGCCUGCUCCCUCCAGACAGCACUCCACAGUUUACACAGCCCUGUCCUGUCCACAGUGCCACCUAAUGCUCCUGCCCCUUUUACAAGUGAGGAAACAGGCUUCAAAAUGUUAAUGCCUGACCCAAGUUUCAUCAAUUUAAAUUCAGGUCUCCAGGAUCCCAGGAAAUCCUCUCUAGGGAGCGCUUCCUAGUUUGGGGGAAUUCCAGGAUGAGCAAGACAGGGUCCCUUGUUGAUAGGAAGAUUACUAAUUCAGAGGAGGCACCCAGGGUUGCAAAAGACAGGAGACUGGUGGGAAGGCUCCUGGUCCCCACCCCACCCCCAGGGCAAGCAAGUGCCUUCACAGACCUCUUCAGCACCUUCC
rnacentral:sRNA from 1 species